AACAGAUGCUCAGUUAAGCUAGAGCCUAGAGGCGAGCAAUUGUCCCUGGGGACAACACGUUUCAAGUUCAAGAUCCUGGAAGCUGGACUAGUUCUUCACUGAAUGUUCUUGAGGACUCUCGCGAACCCUUCCUUGUAAAAUCUCGUACAAUUACUAACCCAAGUGUCAAGGGAUACUCGGAAGAGAAUUUACUACAUCCUAUAGCUAUAAAAAGGAGCAAACAUGCUUGCACCAGAGGAGCCAAGCCCGCCUACCCAGUUGUCUGCUUUCCUGGAGAUACACAGUUGCCUGCUCUGUUAUACUCUCUGCAGGAACAUCUUCUUGGAACAUUUCAGCUUGUGUUGUCCGGCGAUCUUCGGUACAAGGAUGGGAGACUCUAAGCGUAACAAGGUGAAGAAGAGCAUCUGGCAGCUCCUCUGCGGCUGCUCAUCACCCCAGACGAAUGAUUGAUUCAGAGUCAAAUGCAAGAGAACUCGAUCAUUUGAGAUUGCAAGAUCCUUUUGUGCAGACCAAUCAAUAGUUUUUUCUUGGCAGGUACUUAGCUGUUUUAUUCAAUUUGUGUUCUGGUCUUGUUAUAUGUAUUCUUGUUGGUAAUAAUGUAAUGAGUGGGUCCUCAGCUAUUUGAUUCAAUUU